rnacentral:rRNA from 1 species
GGGCAGCUACACAGCGAUGUGAUGCUAAUCUCCAAACCAUGUCUCAGUUCGGAUCGGAGUCUGCAACUCGACUCCGUGAAGCUGGAUUCGCUAGUAAUCGCGCAUCAGCCAUGGCGCGGUGAAUACGUUCCCGGGCCUUGUACACACCGCCCGUCAAGCCAUGGGAGCCGGGGGUACCUGAAGUCCGUAACCGCGAGGAUCGGCCUAGGGUAAAACUGGUGACUGGGGCUAAGUCGUAACAAGGUAGC